GUAUAUUAAUAUCAUUACGUGUUCUUUGAUCGAGAGAUAAACUAUAUGGAAUAUGUAUUCUUGGGCAGCGACCAUAUCUGUCACUGAUAAAAAUCAAAAAUUAAUAUUUAGCUUUUAAUAUAGGCGUUAUUGCGUUGUAUAGAAUUUAGGUUUUUUUUUUUUUUUCUAAUUACAACGAUACAAAAAUACACAACAAUCAGUGAAUUAUAUAAUAUAUGUAUACGUUAAAUUACGUUAUAUACGUUAUUUUUAUUUAAACAUAACACCAUAAUGAAUAGGAACGAGACACAAUAAUUAUAAAAUCAACGAUAAAACCAAUGUGGCUUGCUGAGGAUAACUGCAGAGCGCAGUAUUAAAUCGGUAUAAUAAUAUUAUUAUCAUAGAUAUAAAUACCUAAUUAGUUUUUAAGCGUCAAACGAUUUUCGCCCGAACCGUUUUAAUUGCAUGCGUCGCACGGCUAACCCUUUGUAAUGAUUUUUAAUCCGUUUACGGCGGCCAAAAAUUAUUAAAAAAAAAAAAAGGAGUAGAAUUACGAUCAGAAAUAUGUAAUAAUAGUGUAAUGUUAGGUAUCCCCGAUUGUAAGAGAUUGAUGGUGAUUGAAAGAGAUU